ACACCGUUGGUGAAGUGGUUAUCAUGCUUGCCUUCCAUUGACUGAUAGCAAGCGGCUCGGGUUCGAUUCCCGAACGGUGUA